rnacentral:rRNA from 1 species
CUCCUACGGGUGGCAGCAGUGGGGAAUAUUGGACAAUGGGCGCAAGCCUGAUCCAGCCAUGCCGCGUGUGUGAAGAAGGCCUUCGGGUUGUAAAGCACUUUUGUUCGGGAAGAAAUCGUGCGGAUUAAUACUUCGUACGGAUGACGGUACCGAAAGAAUAAGCACCGGCUAACUUCGUGCCAGCAGCCGCGGUAAUACGAAGGGUGCAAGCGUUACUCGGAAUCACUGGGCGUAAAGCGUGCGUAGGCGGUUCGUUAAGUCUGCUGUGAAAGCCCUGGGCUCAACCUGGGAACUGCAGUGGAUACUGGCGGGCUAGAGUGUGAUAGAGGAUGGUGGAAUUCCCGGUGUAGCGGUGAAAUGCGUAGAGAUCGGGAGGAACACCAGUGGCGAAGGCGGCCAUCUGGAUCAACACUGACGCUGAGGCACGAAAGCGUGGGGAGCAAACAGGAUUAGAUACCCUGGUAGUCCACGCCCUAAACGAUGCGAACUGGACGUUGGUUGCAACUUGGCAAUCAGUGUCGAAGCUAACGCGUUAA